UACGUAGGGGGCAAGCGUUGUCCGGAUUUAUUGGGCGUAAAAGGCUUGUAGGUGGCCACGCCAAGUCGGAUGUGAAAUCUCCCGGCUCAACUGGGAGGGGUCAUUCGAUACUGGCGGGCUCGAGGCCGGUAGGGGGAAGUGGAAUUCCCGGUGUAGUGGUGGAAUGCGUAGAUAUCGGGAGGAACACCAGUGGCGAAGGCGACUUCCUGGCCUGUUCUUGACGCUGAGGCGCGAAAGCUAGGGUAGCAAACGGG
rnacentral:rRNA from 1 species